rnacentral:rRNA from 1 species
GACGAACGCUGGCGGCGUGCUUAACACAUGCAAGUCGAACGAUGAACUUGGAGCUUGCUCUGGGGGAUUAGUGGCGAACGGGUGAGUAACACGUGAGUAACCUGCCCUGGACUCUGGGAUAACUUCGAGAAAUCGGAGCUAAUACCGGAUAGGACCUUGCACCGCAUGGUGUGGGGUGGAAAGUUUUUCGGUUUGGGAUGGACUCGCGGCCUAUCAGCUUGUUGGUGAGGUAAUGGCUCACCAAGGCGUCGACGGGUAGCCGGCCUGAGAGGGUGACCGGCCACACUGGGACUGAGACACGGCCCAGACUCCUACGGGAGGCAGCAGUGGGGAAUAUUGCACAAUGGGCGCAAGCCUGAUGCAGCAACGCCGCGUGCGGGAUGACGGCCUUCGGGUUGUAAACCGCUUUUAGUAGGGAAGAAGCCUUCGGGUGACGGUACCUGCAGAAAAAGGACCGGCUAACUACGUGCCAGCCGCCGCAGUAA